GACGAACGCUGGCGGCGUGCCUAAUACAUGCAAGUAGAACGCUGAAGGAAGGAGCUUGCUCUUUCUGGAUGAGUUGCGAACGGGUGAGUAACGCGUAGGUAACCUGCCUGGUAGCGGGGGAUAACUAUUGGAAACGAUAGCUAAUACCGCAUAAAAUUGAUUAUUGCAUGAUAGUCAAUUAAAAGGUGCAACUGCACCACUACCAGAUGGACCUGCGUUGUAUUAGCUAGUUGGUGGGGUAACGGCUCACCAAGGCGACGAUACAUAGCCGACCUGAGAGGGUGGACGGCCACACUGGGACUGAGACACGGCCCAGACUCCUACGGGAGGCAGCAGUAGGGAAUCUUCGGCAAUGGACGGAAGUCUGACCGAGCAACGCCGCGUGAGUGAAGAAGGUUUUCGGAUCGUAAAGCUCUGUUGUAAGAGAAGAACGAGUGUGAGAGUGGAAAGUUCACACUGUGACGGUAUCUUACCAGAAAGGGACGGCUAACUACGUG
rnacentral:rRNA from 1 species